AAAAGCAUGUUGUUCACUAAUUUAAUUUCUCUGCAUGGUUUAUAUCUUUAUUAUUAAAGGGUCUUUGAAUGACAGACAUAUUACAAGUGGGAGUGAACUGUAUGCCAUAUUUACACCAAGGGAAAAUUUAACAGAGUUACCACCGGCACAAAGACAGGCCAACAUCGGAAAUGAAGGACCAAGUGUCAUCCGCUGUCACAUAGCGUUACAGGGAGACUUUGAAAUCAAAGUCAACCUCGAAAGUGAUACACUGAGAGAUGUGACACUACGGCUUUCUCUCGAAAGUAGUAUACCAGCACCAGUUCUUCACAUCAGAGGUGAAGAGUAUAAUCAUGUUGACAAACUAAGUGAGCUUGGAAUCACAGAUGAUUCAGUUCUACAGUUCUCUCUGUCAUCGUUUGAUAAUGAGAAACCAAGUCCAAGUCUUUUGUUCCAAAAAGAUGUCAGACCCUCAGUGAAGCAAACAGAGAAAGGCCUAAGUGUUUUUCUGUCAACGCUCUAUGCCAUUAAACGUAAACACUGUGGAGACGAAUUUAAGAAAGUGGUUGCAUACAUUAGGAGACUGAGUGGAUGCAAUGCUUUGGCUCAAAGUUUAUUCCAAAUGAUCUGUGGGAACUUGCAUGUAACAAGAAACCAAAAGGUAGGUUAUUGUAUAAUAUAA
rnacentral:lncRNA from 1 species